UACGAGUGGCCCAAGCGUUAUCCGGAAUUACUGGGCGUAAAGGGCGCGUAGGCUGUUUCGUAAGUCAGAUGUGAAAUCCCGGGGCUUAACUCCGGACGUGCAUUUGAAACUGCGAGACUAGAGUGCAGUAGAGGAUGGUAGAAUUCCCAGUGUAGCAGUGAAAUGCGUAGAGAUGUGGAGGAAUACCGAUGGCGAAGGCAGCCCCCUGGGCCAAUACUGACGCUCAUGCACGAAAGCGUGGGGAGCAAACAGG
rnacentral:rRNA from 1 species